GCUCCAUCACCACCGUUAGCGAUUUGGUGUUUUUCUGACGCGGGGGCGUCUUGCUCUCCACUCCUGCGCCUUAUUUUCCUCGUCUGAAUCUCAGUGCAUCUCUCCGCCUGGUCUUGGGAGGAGCCCGUGAAGGGCCGAGUCUGUCCUUCUCCUUUCAAAGCUUUAAAAAGAUAACCCGCCCUUGGGGCGAACGUCUGCGGAGCAUUUUAGGACUUUUUGAAGAGCCAGGUACCAGCUGAGAGUUAAACAAGGCCUGGGCACCACGGGGACCCCCUGCUCACCCACCCGCGCCCUCCCUGACGUCAAAAACACAUGUCUUUACAUCCAAAAGAUUCCCCAAUGGGACUGAACAUUUUUGAAAGAAAAAAACCCCCAUCAUAGUUGUACUACCUACAUCCCAGGACCAUUUGUUCCUGGAAAGAGGUUUUGGGUCUUAAAUCUUUGCAGAAUCACGUAAGGAGUGUGCGUGUACCAAAGCGGACAAGGAAAGCGAGACUUUUCCUGCAACCUGCUGGUUCUGGGGGGGGGAAACGGACAGAAGGAGGACGGAGCCACGAACUGCACCUGGUCAGGGAAGGCCAGGAAGGCUUCCUAGAGGAGGUGAUGUUUGAGUGAGUCCAGGGGGGAGUAGGAGGUCAUCAGAGAAGAGAGGCAGGUUGCCUUUCACUUCACGGUGUGAUGCUGAGGUAGGCAAGACGUGGUCAUCAUUUGACAGGUGAUUUAACUGAAGCUGGGUAGAGGAGAACCACUGGCUCAAAAUGCCCCCCUCGUCAGUGGGCAUGUGGUAUUGGCAUCCAGACACGCCUGCCUUCUACCCCAGGGCCCUUUCCUCGGCCCCAUGGCUGCCUUUCUUCCUCCUGAAGACGGAGUCCUACGCCCUUCCAACAUUUACACAAUCUGUACCCUAAUUUUAAAAAAUUACAUGUAUUUUUGAAUAGCUCUUAAGAUAUAUUGAAGACAUAGUGAAUCCUUUGGAAUUGAAGAUCUUCUUGCUUUAGUUUGAGCCUGAAUUUUACCUUCAAUUUGUGAAUCAAACCUUAAGACCUUUCCUGUGUCUUAUACAACGGGCUUUGAGACAACGGAGACUGCAUCUUAGGCUCUUAGGUCUCCAGUACCUAGCACAGCGCCUGGCAAAGUAGACUCAAUAAAUAUUGUUUUCUCUGCGUUGGUGCUGGCUACAGGCUUUCUUGUGUUUUGCUCCUUCACUGCUGAACGACUCAGUACACUCCCUCCCACAGGACUGGACGUCGGGAGAUCUGUUCCCUGGCUUCCCCUCCUUCUCUACAGGCGUGACACGACAAGGCCACAAUACGCUGAUAUGGUUACAGCUUCUGCUGUAUCGGAGUCACCUGUGAAUCAUACGGUAUUUGUUUUUCUCGGUCUGACUUAUUUUACUUAGCAUAAUACCUUUGAGGUUCGUCCCUAUGGUUGAAAAUGGCAAGACUGCCUUCUUUUUAAAGGCUGAAUAAUAUUCCAUUGCAGCUAUAUAAAUACUACAUAUUCUUUAUCCAUUCAUCCACUAAUAGACACUGUAGUUGCUUCCUUUAUUAUUCUCUUCUCAGUAUUUCUCUGCUUAUUAGAAUUUCCAUUAGGAAAUUAGGCGUUGGGAGGGGGGAGGUUAGAAGAGGGGAGACUAACAGCAUAAAGUGGCGGGUAGUAAGUGCAGAGGAAUGGAGGUGAUGGCCAGGGCUGAGUUCCCGAUGGAGGACACUCAGGGAGGCCAUCACGCAGGAGGCGGGACGUGCAUCGAGUCUUAGUGGAGGUGGACAGGGCUAGGACAGGCUGAGAGGAGAGGGGGAGGUGCCGGCUCCUUCCUUUGCUGUAUGUUUUGUUACCGAGGACAUCAUAUGGAUUCUCGUUGGGUUAUAUCCUUGAGGAACAUUUCUUAGAGCCCUCUUGGGAAGAAUGUUCUCCUUCUCUCCUGUUUGCUGGGAGAUGCUUAAGCAGUGUCUCACCCGUAGCUUUGAGACACCCACCACCUGAGUGCUGUCAAUCAGAGAGUUAAACAAACUGCAGUCUUUGCUCCGCCAUCUGGUGACUGGCACCUUGGGAGGAGGCACUGAACUUCUCUGGGUCUGUGCUUCCAUCUGACAAAACGGGGUCAGUAAUCUCUCCCUCCCAGGCUGAUGGACAUGGAGGCAUUUUCCCACAUUGAGAAAAUGCGAGCCAGUUAACUAAGGUAGUGCCUUACCCAUGGCUCUCUUCCCUCCUCACCUGCCAUGCACGUUAGAUUUGUUUUAUGAGUUGGGGGCAACUGGCAUGGCUCUUGGCAGCAUGUGAAGGACGUAGUACUUCUGCUGAAACACUCGUGUCUGGAAUUUGGGUCAGUCCAGACCCAAGCCUGACAUCUCACUGGUGGCCUCCCAAAGACCCUCGUCCCUGUCUGGGUAAUGGAUGGUUCACACUUUCUGGUACAUUGCCAUCCAUAACCCUCAAGAGCCCUGGAAAGCAUGCCAGCUGUCAAGAGCAUUAAGGACUGGCUGGCAGAGUUCAGGACUGAAAAGUGCUGAGCCCAGGCAUAUAUGUUAAAAAAUGAGGACAUUUGUUAGCUAAGGACCUAGGUAACCAGAAGUUUCCCAGCGAGCUGGUCUAGCACAGAGCGAUGGCAAUUUUUCUUGCGUGUGUUUUCCUGGGUGGCCUUCUAAAAUCCUGUAGUUGUGUGGUCAGAUGGGGCAGGCACAGAGAGAGAGGCAGAAAGGGCCUGUGUGCUCUGUUUAAUUAAUUGAAGCACAUUAUUGGGAAAAUGGCUGUUGUGAGGAGGAGAAUCUAGUUUGAGAGCUUGUUCUCAGCUUAGAAAUUGAAGAAAGAUUUUUUUUGGCAUUAUCACAGGCCCCCCAGCAAGCUAAAGAACACCGCUAACAUUUAAAGCCGAAUGUACUUUCCGAGUGAGUCAGGUGCACAUCUGUAAGUCCUGUGUCCUUAAGCUCCAGGGUUUCUGUUGAAUUAACAAAAAUAACAAGAACAGUAACAACAAAUGACAAAGCAUUUCCAGUCAGAGAUGGACCCAAGACAAAAAACCCCUGAACCCAAAAAGGUAAAAGCAGAUGUUCCAGCACUGGCUGCUAACCCCGGAGGGGGCACUUCUGUAGCUCUGGGAAGUUGCUUCUACCAGGCAACCGACCGGUCUCACGCCCACAGGGUCACCGUCUUCCACGGCUGCAGGGGCCUCCACUCUCCAUUUCUGGCUUGAAUUCUCAGCCAGCCAGUAGAGGUACUGGAUUCGGGUCGGAGAAAGCAUUGAUUCCCCGGGAGAUGCGUUUGGCCUUGGUGUGAGGGCAAGGCCUUCGAGCAGCUCUUGGAGGUGAGAAAGUGAUCUUACUGUUGCUACUCUCCUUCCCUCUUUUUCUCACCUUAUCAUUAAAUGGUGGAAGAAGAGUCACUUUUCUUGAAAUGUUUGAAAAUAGCCUUUUAAUGUUUUAGGUAACUGACUGAAGUGUUGUUCAGAGUGGCCUUUGGGCUGGAAAGUUGGAUAAUAAUCUGGUGGAUAAGGGAAAUUAAAGGUAAUUUUAACUAUGUGAAGAAAAAAAUUGAUAUAUUGUUAUUUAGAGAUGGUGUUACGUGCAGACUCCAUUUCACUGGAGACCUGAGCCUCUGUAAGGUGAUAUUCUAAGACACUUCAGAAAAAGAUACCCUAAUUAGAGUAAAGAAUUUUAAAGGUAGUAGAAGAAAGGGAGUGUGUUUGUCACCCAUAAGCUGAAGGAUAAACUUUCUUUGCCUCUGAAGGCAAAGAAAUAUAGUGAAACUUCUUUUUAUUAUAUUUCUGAAGUUAAUGAUUAAUUGAUGUUAUGACAAAGUGUAACCCCAUGCCCACUCCCCACCAUGUUAAAGCCUGGAUUUUUGUUUUCCAUGUAAAUAAAGACUGAGCAUCAAGUUAUCACUGUGUAAUUCAUAGACACUGAGA